ACCUUUUACAGACUACUUAUUGCUUAAUCAAUGUUGUUGAUUAUAAGAUAAUGAGUUUUACUGUUAAGGAUUUUUAAAAAAGAUUCAUCAGAAGUGGCAAUGCUAACACAAGUAUACUGCCUAUAUGUGGCACCACAGAGGAUCCAAGGCAAGGGUAGGCCAAGUACUUUUGGGUAGUGCAUUCGAAGUCAAUUCUAGCAACUGAAUUCUUUUUCUCAUGCUUGAUCUACUAUUGUACUCACAAAAUCACUUUUGCUAUGUUAUAUACACUUCAUUUUCUACAGUUUAACAUUUAUAUGAACACUUGCAAAGGGAAUGGACUUUUAAUUGAGUAAAAUCUAGAGAUACACAGAGUUAAAACUGCAGGUGAUUGGGUCAAGAUUUAAAAUAAUCUUGACAACCUAGAACAUUGGUCCCAAACUACACAUCACAUUCCCUAGGCGUACAUGUGGAAUUCUAUUUAAAUCAAAAAUACCACAACUAUAAACCACUACUUAGCGUGUUGUCAUCAGACUGGAAAAGUGUUUCACGGUAGUAGUUGAUUAUUCCAGGAAGACAUAGACGUCAGAGAGAAACAUCCCCCAAACCUUAAGAAUUGUGUCAUUACAUAAACAGAGUGAAUGGAAUUAGAUAUAUUUAAAAGUAUCUCAUAGGGGUGAAACUAGAAUGAUUAGAGGGGUUACAUCCAAAAGGAUAAGACAUUAGUCUGAAGGAGAGGGGACAGUGUCCCUGAGACAGCCAAAGAGGACCAGGUUUUAGGGUGACUGAGGUGAAAAAUGUGUGUACCAUGUAGUCAGAUGGUAAAUCAAUGAUGGCAUCGAGGUCAGCUAGCUGCUUAGUGUUGAAACCAAACUUGACGUGCACAAGUUAUAUAGUUUUGGGGUGUGUGCUACUAAUGCUUUGUCUUUUGUUGUCAUCUUAAGGAACAAAUACAGGACCAGAGGCAGGCAAGUCAGCACUGAACUACACUCCUGUUCCUGGCAGGCUUUAACUCUAAGAGGGUGAUCAUGAGCUCUACUCAUUAUGCAAAAGAGAGUAUUAACUAAGAUGGUGUGGAAUGUGCUUGGCCUGAAUCAAAGCUCAAUGCAUAUCAAGCUUCAGUGAGAUUCUCCAGGGAACUCUUUCUAUUACUUGCUUCAGUUUUUGAAUGAGCUGAGACAAAUUUACUGUUAUUUGAACUUGAAGGAUAACCAUUGUUAUUUUUAAACUUAAAAAAAUGUAUCUAAUAUGAGUGGAUGUUUUGCUUGCAUGCAUGACUGUGUUCCAUCAUAUGACUGGUGCCUGAAGAGGUCAGAAGAGGGUGACUGAUUCAUUAGAACUAGAGUAACAGAGGUUUGUGAGCCACCACGUGGAAGCUGGGACUUGAAUCUGUGUCCUCUAGAAAAGAAGCCUGAGUUAUCAACCACUGAGCCAUCUCUCCAGCCCCAACAGUAGUUUUAAAAGUAAAAAUCAUUAUACACAGUUGCCCCAUCAUAUAACUCUGUGGCAUGGGAAAAAUGAAAUACAUCUGUGUUGCCAGUGCCUAAGAAUUGCUACAGAAUCAGAAAUACAAAGGGAAAUCUACGUUCUCAAUUUAAUUUUCUUACCUCUGUAUAAGACCCUCACCUCCAUGUGAGCCUCCACAUGGGCUGCCUUGGGGCACAGUGACUCACUUCUUGCCAAAUGCACACUCUGUAGGCCCAUGCCAGAAAGGCUAUACAGCUCUUGCCAUCUCUGUUUAUAAGUUUGAGAAUAGGCUAAGAACUUUACUAGCCAUAACAAUCUUGUAGUUCUAUGAAAAUCUAAAAAAAACAAAAUUGCUCUAGAAUUCAAUUUUUAAAAAUCCAUUAUGAAAAAUUAUAUUUUGAGGUCACUUAAGUCACAAUCUUUACCCACUUAAAGUGUUUAUAAAAAUUUGGGUACAUGAGCUAUAUAUUUUAGAGAUUCUAAUUCAUGACUACAGAACAGGGCCCAAGAAACUACACUGGUCCUAACCCAGGGCUUUGCCACUAUUCUACUAAUCUGCUCAAAUAGCAACAUUGUUACUACUAUAAUGAAUUUUUAUAACUACAUGCCAUUUCAGAGGCUGUUGGAUACAAUAGCUAUAAAGACCAUGUAGGUUCCUUCUUGUUGGACGUUAUCCUGGAGGAAGCAGCACAUUCAUGACAUAAGACAAGUCAUAAGAAUCCAGGGCCAUGCCAGAAGCUGAGAGUCUGUGCCAAUAAUUAACAGUAUUAAGGUGGCACUUGGGACGGGAGCAUCUUGAUGUGCUCCUGAGAGCUGAAUGCUAGGAAUGAGACUACUGUGCCCCAGGGCCGGGACUGUACCCAGUUGUUAGCUGUCCAAUGUUAAGGCCGUAAGAAGAGACAAGUGACAGAUAGGGUCCUAUGGCUUAACUAGUUUAAGUGAAGGAGACAAGGAAUUUGACUGAGACAGAUUAACUACCCAGAUCUCGCACAGCUUUAAAAGCCAGGGAAACAAUGGAGAAAAAGGUUUUGUUUGCUUUUUUUUUUUUUUUUCCUGAGAGGGAAUCCAUUGGUGGGUUUUAAGGCAAAGAGGCCAUAAUUUGAUUUACAUUUUGCAAAGGUCUCUUUUGCUGUUCUAUAUAUUCUAUAGGUGUGUGAUGUGUGGUAUUUAAAUUUAACACCUCUGCCACUAGGAACAAUUCACCUUUCAUUACAGUUUUGUUAACAUUGUCUAGCAUGUCCCAAUAUACGAUGUUUGUUUCUUUAUUAUAGCACCAGGGAAUAAAGCCACAGGCUUUCACAAGCUAGGUAAGUGCUCUACUUCUGACCACACCCAUACUUACUCUCUUUCGUUGGGUAUUCUCAAAAACAAAAUACAGAAUUUCUCUUAUUGUGUUCUACAUUUUGUUGACAAGGAAAUGGAAGUUUAUGAAGGAUGUGAUUCUUUUUUAAAUUAGGCCUGUGUUCUCAAAAGGCAGAUAGUAAAAAUGGGAAGAUAUUAUUUAAAACUCUGGAGUUUUGUUUUGUUUUUGUUUU
rnacentral:lncRNA from 1 species